CGUCUGCUCCGGGCCACACUCCCUGCCCGGCAGUGAGCCUGUGCACAGGUCACUUGGCUUCUCUCUGCCUCAGUUUCCCCCUCCAUAAAACAGGGAUGGUGACGGCAAUGAAGGCACUACUCUCCUACGGCUGUGUGGAUUGAGUGAAGUGAUAAGCGUCAUCACAAAAGAGCGGGGUCCCCACAGCGGACCGAAGUCCAGAGCUAAGAUUCCUGCUGCGGAACGUGAGGCCGGACUGCAGACUAGACCGGGGCAAGAACCGAGACCCAGCCACGAGUUGUUCCACCCAGGCUCCAGGGGACAGCCUGACAGCCCCACCCCGAACCACCAAAAGCAGCUACUCAGGAGUUGGGAACAAAACAUGUUCUGGACAACGGCAACAACGUCAGGGCAUGAUCUUUUUCUGCGACAAACUGGGUAGGACAGUACGUAGGAGUGACACGUCCACUGUCCAGGAAGCCUACAGCAGCAAAGGGUCUGAGACCCAACCUGGACUUCAGACCUACCAGACGACGGAAAAGAAAAUCCAGCAGGACAAAAAAUCUGCGGGGACACAUCGGCUCACUUCCUCUCACCUUUCCAACCAAAGAAACGGAGGGACUGGCAGUAUCCCAGCAGUUUUUUCCAAGCCCAUAACAUCUUCUACUUAACUGUGGACGGACUUUAGAGAACGCAGAUUGAAACCUGUUACAUUAACGAAGACUGGCUUCUGGCUUCUGACAUGCUAUGGCUCCCACUCAUAACGGAUAAGCCCAUAACAAAAAGCCCUGCCAUCUUUCUUUCUAGAAAUCAUUUGUAUAAGAUGUCUGACAGGAUGGCAGGGGCCAACAGUCUGGAGACAACAUGAAGAGAAGUGAACUGA